AUUGAACGCUGGCGGCAUGCUUUACACAUGCAAGUCGAACGGCAGCGCGGGCUUCGGCCUGGCGGCGAGUGGCGAACGGGUGAGUAAUGCAUCGGAACGUGCCCAGUAGUGGGGGAUAGCCCGGCGAAAGCCGGAUUAAUACCGCAUACGACCUGAGGGUGAAAGCGGGGGACCGAAAGGCCUCGCGCUAUUGGAGCGGCCGAUGUCGGAUUAGCUAGUUGGUGGGGUAAAGGCUUACCAAGGCGACGAUCCGUAGCUGGUCUGAGAGGACGACCAGCCACACUGGGACUGAGACACGGCCCAGACUCCUACGGGAGGCAGCAGUGGGGAAUUUUGGACAGUGGGGGCAACCCUGAUCCAGCCAUGCCGCGUGCGGGAAGAAGGCCUUCGGGUUGUAAACCGCUUUUGUUCGGGAAGAAAUCCUCUGGGCUAACACCCCGGGGGGAUGACGGUACCGGAAGAAUAAGCACCGGCUAACUACGU
rnacentral:rRNA from 1 species